rnacentral:tRNA from 1 species
GCCUGGCUAGCUCAGUUGGUAGAACGUGGGACUCUUGAUCUCAGGAUAAUGGGUUUGGGCCCCACGCUGGGUA